AACGAACGCUGGCGGCAUGCCUAACACAUGCAAGUCGAACGAGACCUUCGGGUCUAGUGGCGCACGGGUGCGUAACGCGUGGGAACCUGCCCUUAGGUUCGGAAUAACUCCCCGAAAGGGGUGCUAAUACCGGAUAAUGUCUUCGGACCAAAGAUUUAUCGCCUUUGGAUGGGCCCGCGUUGGAUUAGCUAGUUGGUAGGGUAAAAGCCUACCAAGGCGACGAUCCAUAGCUGGUCUGAGAGGAUGAUCAGCCACACUGGGACUGAGACACGGCCCAGACUCCUACGGGAGGGAGCAGUGGGGAAUAUUGGACAAGGGGCGAAAGCCUGAUCAAGCAAUGCCGCGUGAGUGAUGAAGGCCUUAGGGUUGUAAAGCUCUUUUACCCGGGAUGAUAAUGACAGUACCGGGAGAAUAAGCUCCGGCUAACUCCGUG
rnacentral:rRNA from 1 species